GAUGAACGCUAGCGGCAGGCUUAACACAUGCAAGUCGAGGGGCAGCAUAUUCUGUGCUUGCACAGAGUGAUGGCGACCGGCGGACGGGUGCGUAACGCGUAUGCAACCUACCCUUUGCAGGGGGAUAACCCGGAGAAAUUCGGACUAAUACCCCGUAUGUAUUUAUAAGGCAUCUUAUUUAUAUAAAAGAUUUAUCGGCGGAGGAUGGGCAUGCGUGACAUUAGGAAGUUGGUGAGGUAACGGCUCACCAAUCCAACGAUGUCUAGGGGAACUGAGAGGUUUAUCCCCCACACUGGUACUGAGACACGGACCAGACUCCUACGGGAGGCAGCAGUGAGGAAUAUUGGUCAAUGGACGCAAGUCUGAACCAGCCAUGCCGCGUGCAGGAUGACGGCUCUACGAGUUGUAAACUGCUUUUAUGAGGGAGUAAUUGCUGUUACGUGUAACGGUUUGCAAGUACCUCAGGAAUAAGGAUCGGCUAACUCCGUGCCAGCAGCCGCCGUAACAC
rnacentral:rRNA from 1 species